rnacentral:rRNA from 1 species
AGAUUGAACGCUGGCGGCAUGCCUUACACAUGCAAGUCGAACGGUAGAGUAGCAAUACUUGAGAGUGGCGAACGGGUGAGUAAUAUAUCGGAACGUGCCCAGUCGUGGGGGAUAACGUAGAGAAAUUUACGCUAAUACCGCAUACGAUCUAAGGAUGAAAGCGGGGGACUCGCAAGAGCCUCGCGCGAUUGGAGCGGCUGAUAUCAGAUUAGGUUGUUGGUGAGGUAAAAGCUCACCAAGCCGACGAUCUGUAGCUGGUUUGAGAGAACGACCAGCCACACUGGGACUGAGACACGGCCCAGACUCCUACGGGAGCAGCAGUGGGGAAUUUUGGACAAUGGGCGCAAAGCCUGA